UUGACUUACAAAUCUUUGGAAUAUCAAAUAUGACAUCCCGAUUUUCUAUACUAAGGAAAAAGGCCUGUUAUUGUAUGAUGUCGGCAAGAAUUUCUAUAAAAUCCAUUAUUUCGAUAGCAGACUUUGCAAGUUGAAAAAGUGAGGAUGCUUCCUAGCAAUUCACCUCCUUCUGCUGCCAUAUUCCGAAGGCUUGAAGAUAAAGUGGCAGUGAUUACUGGUGGCGCCAGCGGGAUUGGAGAGUGCACUGCAAGGCUGUUUGUCAAGCAUGGCGCUAAAGUCGUCCUUGCUGAUAUCCAAGAUGAUCUCGGUCGUGCCAUUUGUGAGGAGCUUAAUCCCGAAGGAGCCAUUUCCUACGUCCACUGCGAUGUAACGAAUGAAUCACACGUAAGAAGAGCAGUAGACACUGCAAUCUCCACGUAUGGCAAGCUUGACAUAAUGUUCAGUAAUGCUGGAAUUCCUGGAAAUGGAUCAGACAGAACGAUCCUUUUGCCUGAUCAAGACAGUACAGAAUCGACAGAUCACGAGAACUUUAGAAGGGUUUUCGAUGUUAAUGUUUUUGGAGCAUUCUUGUGCGCUAAGCAUGCUGCGAGAGUUAUGGUUCCAGCUGAGAAGGGAUCCAUUAUUAUAACUUCCAGUGUUUGUUCAAUGACUUUUGGUGAUGUCCCUUAUUCUUAUGUUGCGUCCAAGAAUGCCGUUUUGGGGCUUGCCAAGAAUUUGUGUGUGGAAUUGGGACAAUAUGGGAUCCGAGUAAACUGUGUUUCUCCCUUUGGAGUUCCCACUCCAAUGCUAAAGAGAGCAUUACCCAUGGUCAAGGGGAGUGAAAUAGAGGGAUUUGUUUCUGCAAUAGCAAAUCUCAAGAAGGCAACUGUGGGAACAGAAGAUGUGGCGGAAGCUGCAUUAUACCUUGGAAGUGACGAAUCCAAGUACAUAAGCGGAUUAAAUCUGGUGGUUGAUGGUGGUUAUAGCACAACCAAUAUAGCAUUGAAAGAGGCUAAGUUGAGCAAGAGCUUGCCAAUUCCAAGCAAAAUGUGAAUUGUGAUGAACUUGCUGCUUCUGCUUCUGCCUUAAGAUGUCAACGAAGUGCUGCUGCUGCUGCUGCAUAUCGCUAUUGAUGAGUACUCGAUUUUCAUCAGGAUGUAAAAUAGCCUACGACCAGCGACGAAAGAAGGCAAAUACAGCAGGCACAGUUUCAUCCCACCAUAAAGCAUUCUUAUCUCCUCCAAUCAACCCAAUGGAGGUGUAUAAAAUUUGUAUCAUUUUUAUAAGUGAUUCCAAGGUAAUUAUUCUUAUUAAACCCAUAGAGCCUAUAUCAUAUAAGACUUGUUCUGUUGCUUCUAUAAUUUGAAUAGUUGAUGGGACCUAUGCUCUCGUAUUCACUCAAUCUCAUGAA